CUAGCGACUUCAGAGUUUGAUCCUGGCUCAGGACGAACGCUGGCGGCGUGCCUAACACAUGCAAGUCGAACGGAGUUAAACGCUGAAUUGAAGAUAGCUUGCUAUAAGAUUUUCUUGUUUAACUUAGUGGCGGACGGGUGAGUAACGCGUGAGCAACCUGCCUUACAGAGGGGGACAACAGUUGGAAACGACUGCUAAUACCGCAUGAUGUGGAGAGAGGACAUCCUCUUUUCACCAAAGGAGCAAUCCGCUGUAAGAUGGGCUCGCGUCCGAUUAGAUAGUUGGUGGGGUAACGGCCCACCAAGUCGACGAUCGGUAGCCGGACUGAGAGGUUGAACGGCCACAUUGGGACUGAGACACGGCCCAG
rnacentral:rRNA from 1 species